rnacentral:rRNA from 1 species
GACGAACGCUGGCGGCGUGCCUAAUACAUGCAAGUCGAACGCAGUGGGGACGGGUGAGUAACACGUGGGUAACCUCCCAUCAGAGGGGAUAACACUUGGAAACAGGUGCUAAACCGAUACUGAUGGAUGGACCCGCGGUGCAUUAGCUAGUUGGUGAGGUAACGGCUCACCCAGGCCACGAUGCAUAGCCGACCUUAGAGGGUGAUCGUGCAAACUGGGACUGAGACACGGCCCAGACGCCGACGUGAGGCGGCAGUAGGGAAUCGUCGGCAAUGGACGAAAGUCUGACCGAGCAACGACGCGUGAGUGAAGAAGGUUUUCGGAUCGUAAAACUCUGUUGUUAGAGAAGCGGUAUAGAACCAGAAAGCCACUGCUAACUACGUGCCAGCCGCCGCGGUAAUUC